GUGACUGGGGAAAAAAACCCGAACAGUGGUGUAGCGCGGGGACAGAGCCGAGGUUGCGCUGGUAGCGCUGCAAACCGCGCUCGCUGGAUGAGUGGAACGUGAUGCUGGUUAAAAUGUUUUCGUUUUUGCACUGAAUGUAGCCAGGACGGAUCCUUGUGGGCUUUGGCAGCCCUUGGAAACUGUCAAAGGCAGUAUUUUGCAUUUCUGCAGAGCUUUGCACAGAUCCUGUUCCCAUGCAAACUGAUGAGGGAGAAAUACUGGAGGAAGGCAGUCCCAAGGUUAGUGAGAUGGAACAUGAGGAUUUUGUAAUGGAGGGGCAUGGCAAGACUCCACCUCCUGGUGAAGAAAACAAACAGGAUUAGUUGGAUAUCCUGGACUGGGUCUUGUGAAGAACAACAGAGAGGAACUGGAGCAUCUGACAGAGGAGAAGCUGAGAAAGCUGUGACUGUUUAGCCUUGUGAUGAGAAAAUUUGGAGGAGAAUCUUAUUAUCCACUUGUAGAGAUACCUGACGAGGGGACUAGAGAAGACAGACAAAUUCUUCACAGUGGUGCCUGGUGGAGAGGCAAGAAGCAAUUGGCAUAAACUGAAAUACAGGAAACUACACUCAAACAUCAGGAAAAAAAUUCUUUCUUUAUACUUUUGGAACAGGUUAGUCAGAAAACUCAGCUGGACACAACUCCAAGCCUGCUUCAGCCUGCUCUAGUUAACCAUGCUUUGAACAACGGGGUGGGAUUGAUGAUCUCGGUGAUCUCUUCCAUCUGCAAUGAUUCUGUGAUUUGGUGUACCUGUGUCUACUGUUGUCCUUCUAGUUAGUCUGAAAUAAAAUUGGAGCUUGUUAGUAAAAAGUAAAUUCUAA